UACAGAGACUGCAAGCGUUAUUCGGAUUCACUGGGCGUAAAGGGUGCGCAGGCGGCCGGGUGUGUCAGAUGUGAAAUCCCGAGGCUCAACCUCGGAACUGCGUCUGAAACUACUCGGCUAGAGUACUGGAGAGGGUAACGGAAUUCACGGUGUAGCAGUGAAAUGCGUAGAUAUCGUGAGGAACACCAGAGGCGAAGGCGGUUACCUGGACAGUUACUGACGCUCAGGCAACGAAAGCAUGGGGAGCAAAAGGG
rnacentral:rRNA from 1 species